UUUGGGGGUUGAUUGGAACCAGC
rnacentral:miRNA from 1 species